rnacentral:rRNA from 1 species
GUGCCAGCCGCCGCGGUAAUACGAAAGGUGCAAGCGUUAAUCGGAAUUACUGGGCGUAAAGCGCGCGUAGGCGGUGUGUUAAGUCGGAUGUGAAAGCCCAGGGCUCAACCUUGGAAUUGCAUCCGAUACUGGCACGCUAGAGUGCAGUAGAGGGAGGUGGAAUUUCCGGUGUAGCGGUGAAAUGCGUAGAGAUCGGAAGGAACACCAGUGGCGAAGGCGGCCUCCUGGACUGACACUGACGCUGAGGUGCGAAAGCGUGGGGAGCAAACAGGAUUAGAAACCCUUGUAGUCC